AUUGAACGCUGGCGGCAGGCCUAACACAUGCAAGUCGAGCGGCAGCGGAAAGUAGCUUGCUACUUUGCCGGCGAGCGGCGGACGGGUGAGUAAUGUCUGGGAAACUGCCUGAUGGAGGGGGAUAACUACUGGAAACGGUAGCUAAUACCGCAUAACGUCGCAAGACCAAAGAGGGGGACCUUCGGGCCUCUUGCCAUCAGAUGUGCCCAGAUGGGAUUAGCUAGUAGGUGGGGUAACGGCUCACCUAGGCGACGAUCCCUAGCUGGUCUGAGGGGAUGACCAGCCACACUGGAACGGAGACACGGUCCAGACUCCUACGGGAGGCAGCAGUGGGGAAUAUUGCACAAUGGGCGCAAGCCUGAUGCAGCCAUGCCGCGUGUAUGAAGAAGGCCUUCGGGUUGUAAAGCACUUUCAGCGGGGAGGAAGGUGUUGAGGUUAAUAACCUCAGCAAUUGACGUUACCCGCAGAAGAAGCACCGGCUAACUCCGUGCCAGCCGCCGCCGUAAGAC
rnacentral:rRNA from 1 species